UGAGCAAUCUGCCCUUCUCUUUGGAAUAAGCGUUGGAAACGACGUCUAAUGCCGAAUACGACCUCCUUUCGCAUGAUCGGAGGUGGAAAGCUCCGGCGGAGAAGGAUGAGCUCGCGGCCUAUCAGCUUGUUGGUGGGGUCAUGGCUCACCAAGGCGACGACGGGUAGCUGGUCCGAGAGGAUGACCAGCCACAUUGGGACUGAGACACGGCCCAGACCUCUACGGGA
rnacentral:rRNA from 1 species